rnacentral:rRNA from 1 species
UAUUGGUCAAUGGCCGAGAGGCUGAACCAGCCAAGUCGCGUGAGGGAUGAAGGUUCUAUGGAUCGUAAACCUCUUUUAUAAGGGAAUAAAGUGCGGGACGUGUCCCGUUUUGUAUGUACCUUAUGAAUAAGGAUCGGCUAACUCCGUGCCAGCAGCCGCGGUAAUACGGAGGAUCCGAGCGUUAUCCGGAUUUAUUGGGUUUAAAGGGUGCGUAGGCGGCCUUUUAAGUCAGCGGUGAAAGUCUGUGGCUCAACCAUAGAAUUGCCGUUGAAACUGGGAGGCUUGAGUAUGUUUGAGGCAGGCGGAAUGCGUGGUGUAGCGGUGAAAUGCAUAGAUAUCACGCAGAACCCCGAUUGCGAAGGCAGCCUGCCAAGCCAUGACUGACGCUGAUGCACGAAAGCGUGGGGAUCAAACAGGA